ACGCCAGGCAUGAAGAAUGCGUUUCUGCAGACAGAGUCCAACAGAAACACAUCAGGUCGUAACAAGGGGCGUGAAGAAUGCGUUUGUGCAGACUGAGGGUCCAACAGAAACGCAUCAGGUCGUAACGCCAGGCGUGAAGAAUGCGUUUGUGCAGACAGAGUCCAACAGAAACGCAUCAGGUCAUAACGAGGGGCGUGAAGAAUGCGUUUGUGCAGACUGAGGGUCCAACAGAAACGCAUCAGGUCGUAACAAGGGGCGUGAAGAAUGCGUUUGUGCAGACUGAGGGUCCAACAGAAACGCAUCAGGUCGUAACACCAGGCGUGAAGAAUGCGUUUUUGCAGACAGAGUCCAACAGAAACGCAUCAGGUCAUAACGAGGGGCGUGAAGAAUGCGUUUGUGCAGACUGAGGGUCCAACAGAAACGCAUCAGGUCGUAACGCCUGGUGUGAAGAAUGCGUUUGUGCAGACUGAGAGUCCAACAGAAAUGCAUCAGGUCGUAACGAGGGGCGUAAAGAAUGCGUUUGUGCAGACUGAUGGUCCAACAGAAACGCAUCAGGUCGUAACGAGGGACGUGAAGAAUGCGUUUGUGCAGACUGAGAGUCCAACGGAAUCGCAUCAGGUCGUAACGAGGGACGUGAAGAAUGCGUUUGUGCAGACUGAAGGUCCAACAGAAAUGCAUCAGGUCGUAACGCCAGGCGUGAAGAAUGCGUUUGUGCAGACAGAGUCCAACAGAAACACAUCAGGUCAUAACGAGGGGCGUGAAGAAUGCGUUUGUGCAGACUGAGAGUCCAACGGAAUCGCAUCAGGUCGUAACGAGGGACGUGAAGAAUGCGUUUGUGCAGACUGAAGGUCCAACAGAAACUCAUCAGGUCGUAACACCAGGCGUGAAGAAUGCGUUUUUGCAGACAGAGUCCAACAGAAACGCAUCAGGUCAUAACGAGGGGCGUGAAGAAUGCGUUUGUGCAGACUGAGGGUCCAACAGAAACGCAUCAGGUCGUAACGCCUGGUGUGAAGAAUGCGUUUGUGCAGACAGAGUCCAACAGAAACGCAUCAGGUCGUAACGAGGGGCGUAAAGAAUGCAUUUGUGCAGACAGAGUCCAACAGAAACGCUUCAGGUCAUAACGCCAGGCGUGAAGAAUGCGUUUGUGCAGACUGAAGGUCCA